rnacentral:lncRNA from 1 species
GAUGGUUAGAAGGGGCACCUGCGGAUGCCAGGCAGCUGGCUUCAAACUCCAGCUUUGCCAAUGACUGGCUGUGUGACGUGGGCAGGUCCUAGCAACCCUCUCCUCUGCAUCAUCUAUCAAUUGGGAGGAAGAUGCUCGAACUGACCAUGUGGCUUGUUGAGAGGCCUGGGCGGCCGACCUGAAGUCUCUGAACCCACCAUCUGUGGACUUGGCUAAACCUGUGCCAAGGAUCAUGGCAGGCUGACAGCAGGUCGUCUCUGGAGAGGAACCUGGGAAGUAUCAACAUCUCCAGAGGAGCAGGGCUCUCGGAGGGGGAAAGGGCCUCACGUGGAGGUGGCAGAAACACUUGCGGCCUUAGGAUCCAACCCAGGACACCCACCUUUGGCUGUGCAGAGAACGAAAGGACUCAGCGAGUCUAAAUGACUUGCCUAAAGUCACACAGCAGAGCUGGGACUUGAACCCAGGUGUUCCUGAUGGAGCCCAUGAUCUCUAACACUGCUCUGUAUUCAUACUUAUGCUAGAAAAUGGUCUUGCUACGAUGGCCCACCCCUCGUGACUGAACUGGGAGACUCAGAAUUAAAUGCAACAUUUUGUCUUUUAAUCACAGAAACUUUCAGUUCUCAGUGUCUCAGGGGAAAAAAAAAAACCCAACGUUGUUUUCAAGUUUUCACUGCAGCUUCUCUUGUAAGUCUUAACUCAGAUGAUGGUUCUUCUAGAAAAUUGUCUUGGGAUCCCCCAGGGCAGGGCAAGCCUGUGUCAUCCCUGUUUCCAGAGCAUUUAAGCUGCCCCUCUUUGACCAUGCUUCCCCCAUUCCAAUCUGGGACAUAAACUUCCCACUACCCUGAGCCCCCUGAUGGUAGGAACUGCUUUGUUUCAAACUUGUGCCUCCUGGUUCUCCCUCCUCUUAUCACUGAAGUGCUGGGUACAUGGAAAGUGCUUCAUACAUGCUUGAGACUCCAAAUCAGGUUGUUGGGUAACCUUCUUCACAUCUCCAUAGCAAGCUCCCAGCUGCCAACCUAGUAAGUAUGCCCUUCAUAGCCACAAACUCAGAUGUAUGCAAAUAGGCCAUUAUUCUCUAUGUCUCAGCUAAACUUUGCUCUCCAGCACAGAUUCUAUCCAAGAACAGAAAACUUGAUUCAGUAAACAGAGAUCACUCUUGUCUUGAUUUUUUCCCCUGUAGUCCCUUUUGAGUAAAUAAUCCAGGCAAAUUCAGGGUGUCCCCUUCCUCCUCUUCUCCCCUCCUUGCCAAGGUUGAUUUAAGUUCUGGGGGCCAGGGGCAAUCACUCAGGCAUCCAGAAAAGGCUUCUGGUCCAUCCUUAUCAGUGGUUGUCCUUGCUUGGUUCUUCCGUUGGCCAUGGGUCAUUGACAGCCAGGCCUGCUGUCUCCAUGGAGAUGAGCCUGUCUCACCAUGGCCUGCACACGGAGAUGUGGCAGCCAUUUAAAUGGUGCUGGCAAUCCUGAUCUCUCCAAGAAUGUAUGCUUGAGAGUGGGUAUGAGAUAGGAGACAGA